AAAGGAAUUGACGGGGGCCCGCACAAGCGGUGGAGCAUGUGGUUUAAUUCGAAGAUAACCGGAAAACCUCACCAGGGCUUGAAAUGCAGUUGCACGAUCGGGGAAACUCGAUCUCCUUCGAGGGUACUGCACAGGUGCUGCAUGGUUGUCGUCAGCUCGUGUCGUGAGAUGUCGGGUUAAGUCCUUUAACGAGCGCAACCCUCAUCUUGUGUUAAAAAUUCACAAGAGACUGCCCAGCUCAACUGGGAGGAAGGUGGGGAUGACGUCAAAUCAGCAUGGCCCUUACGCCCUGGGCAACACACGUGCUACAAUGGCCGGUACAGAGGGUCGCUAAGCGGUAACGCGGAGCUAAUCCCCAAAACCGGUCUCAGUUCGGAUUGAGGUCUGCAAUUCGACCUCAUGAAGUCGGAAUCGCUAGUAACCGUGAAUCAGCAUGUCACGGUGAAUACGUUCUCGGGCCUUGUACACACCGCCCGU
rnacentral:rRNA from 1 species